CACAGCUGUCUGUGCGGGUCGCUACAAUAUCAUGGUGCUCAAAUCAUUUUCCCUUCUCAAAUCAGGUGUCGUCAACAACGUCAAAGGAAUUGAUGCUAUAAGCCCGUAUUCUAAAGAUGAGUUCACAGCGUUUGAAAAGUUGUUAAAAGACAAGAUAUCCCCAUUUGAGAGUUCCAUACACUAUUCCCGGCUUCCUAGAGUCCUUGUUUCGAGACCUCUGUCUCUCACUGGAGGUGGAGGACUUGAAAAAAGUCAGCAACUCCCUCACAGUCUUACUAAGUGAAAAACAGAAACAGGAAAAGCAGCUGAAUAAAGGAAAGAAGAAAAAGAAAGGCGUGGUUCCUGCCGGAGGGAUGAAGUCCAAGAUGAAGGAUGACCUAGCGGACUACGGCGAGUUCGAUGGAGGUUACGUACAAGACUACGAGGACUUCAUGUGACGUGACAUCAACCGAGUGCUACAAAAUAAUGCUGCAAAAUAAUACAAAAUGUUACUAUAAAGUAAUUUAAGGCUAGGAAGUAUUGAAGCCACACAGGUCAAUGUGUGAACAUAGGCCCAUAUACUGCUGAAAUGAAUAUGAUGUAACCAUAGUCUUAACUGUUAGUGUAUUUUAAUGGAGAAAUGAUGGCGCUGAAAAUAAUAAUAAAAUAAAAUAAUCUGUUAUGUAGCAUUUCAACGAAUAGCCGUAGGGUACUCCGUGUCAAUUAGAAAACAAGGCGCUGACCCUUUCAUCAUGGGCCUGUGUUCACAAAGCGUCUGAGUAGAUAUGCUGAUCUAGGAUCAGGUGCCCACCUUCUUAUUCAUUAUGAUCAGAAAAGGCUCAACUGAUCCUAGAGCCACACUGCUACGCUGAGAACCCAGUAUCAUCACUUCCACUGAGUUGAAGCAACAAUGAUUCUAGGCCUCCUAGGCAUUUCUAGUCGAUCGUCAAACAUUUCUGUAAAGAAAACAACGAUAAAGUCUUGUUCCUAUUUUUUUUUAAAUUACGUCUUGGGCUGUUGGUGGUAGGUGCAGUCAAUUCAGCUUCCCUGCGCGCCGGGUAGGCAAACUGUUGCCUUUUCAUGUGUCUGAAGGUACAAACUCUGCCUUCCCAGUGGGCCUGGAGAGGAAAUCAAGUGCACUAUGCAUCACUGGCCAACCACAAUGCUCAGUUUGCCGAGUCUGCAGUAACGUAGCAGGCAAUAAAAAAAGAUACGGCAAAAUUGAUACUG